rnacentral:miRNA from 1 species
AAGUUCGGUGAUACACUUCGACU